AACGAACGCUGGCGGCAUGCCUAACACAUGCAAGUCGAACGAGACCUUCGGGUCUAGUGGCGCACGGGUGCGUAACGCGUGGGAACCUGCCCUUAGGUUCGGAAUAACGCCCCGAAAGGGGUGCUAAUACCGGAUAAUGUCUUCGGACCAAAGAGUUAUCGCCUUUGGAUGGGCCCGCGUUGGAUUAGCUAGUUGGUAGGGUAAAAGCCUAUCAAGGCGACGAGCCAUAGCUGGUCUGAGAGGAUGAUCAGCCACACUGGGACUGAGACACGGCCCAGACUACUACGGGAGGCAGCAGUGGGGAAUAUUGGAAAAUGGGGGAAAGCAUGAUCCAGCAAUGCCGCGUGAGUGAUGAAGGCCUUAGGGUUGUAAAGCUCUUUUACACGGGAUGAUAAUGACAGUACCGGGAGAAUAAGCUCCGGCUAACUCCGUG
rnacentral:rRNA from 1 species